CGCCGCGGGAAAAGCGGUCCUGUUAGGUGGUCAAGGUGGUUUGGAGCUGAGGUCGUCUUCUCAAGAGUAACCGCGGGCCUGUGCUACGGUCACGCCACCGGCCUUCGUUUCCUUUAGCCUUCUCUCUCACCAAACGAUUUUCCUGUCCAUUUAUAAAGUGCAAGUUGUUUCCCCAAGGUUCCAGCAUUUCUUCAUCGGUGGUUGUUCAACAUUUAGUUGUGACCCUAGUAUUUCCAUCAGAAGAGUACACGGACCUCUCACCACCGCGGCCUCUCCCACUGCAGAGCACAGGUUCCGGACGCGCAGGCCCAGCGGCCGUGGCUCACGGGCCCAGCCACUCCGCGGCAUGUGGGAUCAUCCCGGACGGGGGCAUGAACCCGCGUCCCCUGCAUCGGCAGGCGGACUCUCAACCACUGUGCCACCAGGGAAGCCCCGUUGUUGCAAUUUUAAAAGCUGAGAUGGAGCAAUAGAGACCAGAUGUACCUUUCCCAGCUGAAACAACUAAAAAGACAAGACAAAAUGUAUUAAAGAAUGGUUCUUGAGACACUGGACACUACACAGUGAAGAACAGUGAUCCCUGAGAGAUGAGAACCAAAUAAGAUCUUGGAAUGCUCCAGUCUUUUUGCAAAGUCGAUGAGUGGCUUCAGCCCUGGGGAAGAAGCCCGAAAGGUGACCAGAUGGAACCUGCAUUCACAGUCUUCAAAGUUCCCUUUUGAAACAUAAGGAAGAGAAUGAAGGGGAGAAGGAUUUCACA